CGAGGAAAUGGUGUCUGGAGGUCAGGUCUCUGGAGCAGCAGAAAACCAAAGAGAUGACUGGAAAGAAAUGUAACACCCCAAAGAAGAAGGGAGUAAUGGAGAGUUACCAGCUUGGAGUUCUGACUCAGUCUUUCUCCUCCAGCCAGCACAACCUUACCAGAAGAUGGUGUGACCACAGCAGUCUCCAGUGACGGGCAUUCUUAUGGUUCUGAUGAUGCAUCGACGUCGCUGCCCCCAAGAACUGUAAGACCCCACCACACCCCAACAUACGAUGAUGAUAAAUCCACUCCAGAGCCCACAGUCCACAGCAGAGAGAACUCCACGGACUCCAGGGUUAUAACUGACCAUCCUAGCGGAGGCUUGGAGACCAUAGCAUUGGUGGGAAUCAUUUUGGGAAUCGUGAUCGCCAUUGGUAUCAUUGCUGGAAUCGUCAUUGCAGUCGUGAGGAAAAUGUCGGGCAGGUACUCGUAAGUAAAAUACUUAUACACUGACAUGAUACAUGAAUGAUUAGUGUGGUUUUCAGAAGAGCCUUGAG
ensembl:lncRNA